UGCAGCACUGCCAAGGACAUGGAUCUCUCAAGCUCCUGUCUGGCACAUUGCAGGAAGUAAGGGGCAUGUCUAACCACCACGCUCAGCCAAGCCAAAGAACAAAGGCAGCGGCACUCUCUCUGGACCUUGGGGAAUAACACAGCCCUCCCAGGCAGAAGAUGCAAGCAUUCCUGUUGCAGUGCAAUUAGGAGCAGCGAAGAAACUCAGACAUGUGCCCCUUCUGUGUUGGCAACUGAUAUGACAGAACUUCAUGAGGUGCAAAAUACAGGCUGUGUGUGUGUGUGUGUGUGUGUGUGCACACUCGGUGCUAUAUGCUGCAGCCCAAGUUUCAGAGUGAUUUUUAACUUGAAGCUGAUGAGAUGGGAUAUUGUGUCUUUUUUAAAAAUGUAACCAACAACAAACUUUGCUUGGUGUAAUUUUAGCAAGGACGCAAGUGUGCCAAGGUGCAGUAUGUUAUUGUUGAACUACUGUUUUGACAAAAUAGUAUGUAUGUGUGGUUGUGUCUGUGAGUAUAAAGGAGGCAAGCAAAAAGAGAAAAAAUGAUAUGUACUUUUUAGGGAAGUGAAUGCAAUAACAGAGAGACAAGAAAUUUAGAUUAGAAAGCUGUUAAGUUUCACUGUUGUCACAGGUCUUCUU
rnacentral:lncRNA from 1 species